rnacentral:rRNA from 1 species
GAAUAUUGGACAAUGGGCGCAAGCCUGAUCCAGCAAUGCCGCGUGUGUGAAGAAGGCCUGAGGGUUGUAAAGCACUUUCGGUGGGGAAGAAGGUUCGUGGGCUAAUACCCUACGAAAUUGACGGUACCCAAAGAAGAAGCACCGGCUAACUCUGUGCCAGCAGCCGCGGUAAUACAGAGGGUACAAGCGUUAAUCGGAAUGACUGGGCGUAAAGGGCAGGUAGGUGGUUUUUUAAGUUGGAGGUGAAAUCCCCGGGCUCAACCUGGGCACUGCCUCCAAAACUGAAAGACUGGAGUACAGGAGAGGGAAGUGGAAUUUCCGGUGUAGCGGUGAAAUGCGUAGAUAUCGGAAGGAACACCAGUGGCGAAGGCGACUUUCUGGCCUGAUACUGACACUGAACUGCGAAAGCGUGGGUAGCGAAC